rnacentral:rRNA from 1 species
AUGUCGCGGGCGACGAGGCUGGUGCCGGAGCUGCCGCUGCUGCGGCGGGGGAGGCGCCCGCAGGUGGCGGACGCUGGGAACGAGGAGGAGCUGGCCGUGCCGGCGCACUUCCGGUGCCCGAUCUCGCUGGAGCUGAUGAAGGACCCGGUCACGGCGCCCACGGGGAUCACCUACGACCGGGAGAGCGUGGAGGGGUGGCUGGCGCGGGGCCGCGCCACGUGUCCCGUCACCGGCGGCCCCGUGCGGCUCUCCGACCUCGUCCCCAACCACGCCACGCGCCGCAUGAUCCAGGACUGGUGCGUCGCCAACCAGGCCGAGCGGGUGCCCACGCCCAAGGUGCCCGUCGCCGAGGCCGACGCGGCCGAGGUGCUCGCCGCCGUGUCCACCGCCGCCAGGCGCGGGAACGCCCCUGUGUGCGGGCAGCUCGCCGCCAGGGCUAGGGCGAUCGGCAAGGAGAGCGACCGCAACCGCCGGUGCCUCGCGGCGGCAGGUGCGGCUCGCCAGCUCUCGUCGGCUUUCCAGAGCCUCGCCGGGGAGCCCGUGGAGGGCACCAGCGCCGCGGUAAUGGGCGCGCUGGGGAAGAUCUUGGCGGCUCUGACCGUGUUCUUCCCGCUCGACGACGAGGCGCGGCGCUGCAUUGCAUCCCCGGCCUCCCUUAAGACCCUCGUCUCGGUGCUCUCCCACGGCGACCUCGCCGCGCGGGCCAGCGCCGCCAUCGUCCUCCGCGAGCUCGCCUCGUCCGCCGACCGGCACACCGUCGACGUCAUCUCGAGGACGCCGGGCGUGUGCAGCGCGCUCGUCGGCCUCGUCAGGAACCCCGUGUCCCCGCAGGCCACCAAGGCCGCGCUCGUCACGGCCUACUACCUCGUCUCCGGCAGCGACCGCGCGGCCGCCCGCUUCGCCGAGCUAGGCGCGGUGCCCGUCGUGGCGGAACUCCUCGUGGACGCUGACAAGGGGACGAGCGAGAAGGCACUGGCAGUGCUCGACAGCGUCCUGUGCGCCGACGCCGGACUCGAGUCCGCGCGCGCGCACGCGCUGGUCGUGCCGGUGCUGGUCAAGAAGAUGUUCCGCGUGUCCGACAUGGCCACGGAGUUCGCCGUCUCCGCGCUCUGGCGCCUCUGCCGCGCCGCGGACGCCGGCGCCGGCGCGUGCUGCGCCGAGGCGCUGCGUGUGGGCGCCUUCCAGAAGCUGCUCCUGCUGCUCCAGGUGGGCUGCGGCGGCGUCACCAAGGACCGGGCCAGCGAGCUGCUCAAGCUGCUCAAUGGCUUCAGGGGCAGCGUGGAGUGCAUCGAGACGGUGGACUUCAGGGGGCUCAAGAGGCCAUUUUGA